ensembl:lncRNA
GGGAGGGUUCAGUCUAGUGCGAGCGAGGGAGGGGAGGCUGGAGAAGCGGGAGACUCUCCCCGUGUGUGCGCUACGCUAACCAGGAAGGGACUCAUCGCACGCCCUGCUCGUCCUCCGGCUCCACCCCGCCCCCCGCCACAGAGCCGUGCUCCGGGGUUUGGAUGAGAGGGAGCUGUCAGAGCAGGUACCAGGCUACCAGGGGCAGGGAGCUGUAGCAGAGACAGAUACAGGAGAGAGAGAGAGAGAGAGAGAGAGAGAGAGAGAGAGAGAGAGAGAGAGAGAGAGAGAGAGAGAGAGAGGCAUGCACCUCCGAUGCGACCCAGUGCACUACUGCCACGCUGCCUUGCCUGUUUGACGAGAAGGAGCCGGCUGUCAGGAAUACUGUGCCUUGGAGGAGGAGGAGGAGGAGGACUGGAGGAGGAGACGGAGGAGGUGGACCGGAACGCUGUCUGCCAUGACUCGGAGGAGCAGGAGCCAGGAGGAGGCUCGCUGAGACCAUGGAGCAGGGUAACGGGAGGAGGGAUGGUCUGCCCUCGACCAGUGACAACCCCCGGCCGGCCUUGGCGACGUGCCCAGGGAGAGACGGAGGAGGAGGGGGGGGAGGAGGUGG